UACGGAGGGUGCAAGCGUUAAUCGGAAUUACUGGGCGUAAAGCGUGCGCAGGCGGUUUGUUAAGUCUGUUGUGAAAUCCCCGAGCUCAACUUGGGAAUUGCAAUGGAUACUGGCAGGCUGGAGUAUGGUAGAGGAAGGUGGAAUUCCCGGUGUAGCAGUGAAAUGCGUAGAGAUCGGGAGGAACACCAGUGGCGAAGGCGAGUCCCUGGAAAACACCUGACACUGAGGCACGAAAGCUAGGGGAGCAAACAGG
rnacentral:rRNA from 1 species